rnacentral:rRNA from 1 species
AGCGAACGCUGGCGGCAGGCCUAACACAUGCAAGUCGAACGAACCUUUCGGGGUUAGUGGCGGACGGGUGAGUAACACGUGGGAACGUGCCUUUAGGUUCGGAAUAACUCAGGGAAACUUGUGCUAAUACCGAAUGUGCCCUUCGGGGGAAAGAUUUAUCGCCUUUAGAGCGGCCCGCGUCUGAUUAGCUAGUUGGUUGAGGUAAUGGCUCACCAAGGCGACGAUCAGUAGCUGGUCUGAGAGGAUGAUCAGCCACAUUGGGACUGAGACACGGCCCAAACUCCUACGGGAGGCAGCAGUGGGGAAUCUUGCGCAAUGGGCGAAAGCCUGACGCAGCCAUGCCGCGUGAAUGAUGAAGGUCUUAGGAUUGUAAAAUUCUUUCACCGGGGACGAUAAUGACGGUACCCGGAGAAGAAGCCCCGGCGAACUUCG